rnacentral:pre_miRNA from 1 species
UAUAUACUCCCUCCGUCCGGAAAUACUUGUCCUACAAAUGAAUGUAUCUAGACUUAUUUUAGUUAUAGAUACAUUCAUUUUAUUCAUUUUUAGGACAAGUAUUUCCGGACGGAGGGAGUAUAUU